rnacentral:rRNA from 1 species
GACGAACGCUGGCGGCGCGCUUAACACAUGCAAGUCGAGCGAAGCGGCGGACGGGUGAGUAACACGUGAGUAACCUGCCUUAGACAUUUGGAUAGCCUCGGGAAACCGGGAUUAAUACCAAAUGGUCUAAGAUGGACUCGCGUCCCAUUAGCUAGAUGGUGAGGUAACGGCCCACCAAGGCGACGAUGGGUAGCCGGCCUGAGAGGGUGAACGGCCACAUUGGAACUGAGAAACGGUCCAAACUCUACGGGAUGCAGCAGUGGGGAAUAUUGCACAAUGGAGUGAACUCUGAUGCAGCUACGCCGCGUGAACGAAGAAGGCUUUCGAGUCGUAAAGUUCUUUUAUAUGGGAAGCGGUACCAUAAGAAAAAGCCCCGGCUAACUACGUGCCAGCAGCCGCGGUAAUUC